GACGAACGCUGGCGGCGUGCUUAACACAUGCAAGUCGAACGGAAAGGCCCUGCUUUUGUGGGGUGCUCGAGUGGCGAACGGGUGAGUAACACGUGGGUAACCUGCCCUUGACUUUGGGAUAACUUCAGGAAACUGGGGCUAAUACCGGAUAGGAGCUCCUGCUGCAUGGUGGGGGUUGGAAAGUUUCGGCGGUUGGGGAUGGACUCGCGGCUUAUCAGCUUGUUGGUGGGGUAGUGGCUUACCAAGGCUUUGACGGGUAGCCGGCCUGAGAGGGUGACCGGCCACAUUGGGAUUGAGAUACGGCCCAGACUCCUACGGGAGGCAGCAGUGGAGAAUAUUGCACAAUGGGCGGAAGCCUGAUGCAGCAACGCCGCGUGCGGGAUGACGGCCUUCGGGUUGUAAACCGCUUUCGCCUGUGACGAAGCGUGAGUGACGGUAAUGGGUAAAGAAGCACCGGCUAACUACGUG
rnacentral:rRNA from 1 species